rnacentral:rRNA from 1 species
GCGAUCAUAUCAACACUAAUGCGCCGGAUCCCAUCAGAACUCCGAAGUUAAGCGUGCUUGGGCGAGAGCAGUACUAGGAUGGGUGAUCUCCUGGGAAGUCCUCGUGUUGCACCU